AUCGUUCAACCCCGUUUGCCUUCAGUCUGACUUAGCUGACUCAAGCCACCACAUCUAGUAACCAAGUCUGCCAGCCUGCUAGCUCCGAGCUUCUAAUCCAUUCUUUAGCUAUCUACAUGUAGAUAUUUUCAUCCCGUCUGUAUGUAGUCGGAGCUUGUUGUCCAACAGGUCUCCCAACUAAUUUUAUUUUCCCUUACAAGGGAUCGAAUCCUAUUGUCGGACAACUGUUGCGAAGGAAUUUUUUUUUUUUUUUAAUUUUCGUUAACACAGGAGAGAUGUACCGAGGACUUACUUUAUUCACAGAUCGUCUGUCUUGGAUUGGAUUUACGAAACCCAGUUAAACCGUGUCGGAUUUCGGACUAUUAUACAAUCUUGUUUCAUCACCGAACCAUUCGGCUAUUUCUUUCAUAUUGGGACUUCGGAAAAAAUACCUAAAACCACUCACAAAAUAUAAAACAUUAAUUUUAUCUCAUACGGGAAAGGAGUUGAUAAAGUGUCAUGACGGAGGUAGCGCAGAUCCACACGGGGGUCCAUUGGGAACCUGGGCAGGCCCCCCAAUUGGUGGAAGAAGGUUUCGAUAGCGGAAGUAAUUCUUCCAAGCUGUUUGAGCGAUCGAGGAUCAAAGCUCUAGCAGAUGAGAGAGAGGCAGUGCAAAAAAAGACCUUUACAAAAUGGGUUAAUUCACACCUUGCCCGGGUUGGCUGUCGCAUAAGUGACUUGUAUUUGGAUUUACGAGAUGGGAAGAUGUUGAUAAAAUUGCUAGAAGUCCUAUCUGGUGAGCGCCUGCCUCGGCCAACAAAAGGGAAAAUGAGGAUUCAUUGCCUGGAAAAUGUAGAUAAAGCAUUGACAUUCCUGCAUGAACAAAAAGUCCAUCUUGAAAACAUGGGUGCUCAUGACAUAGUUGAUGGCAGUGCUAGACUUACUCUUGGUCUUAUAUGGACCAUUAUUCUUCGCUUCCAGAUCCAAGAUAUCAUUGAAGAGACAGAAAAUAGUGAAACCAAAUCUGCUAAAGACGCACUCUUGCUUUGGUGCCAGAUGAAAACUGCUGGCUACCCUAAUGUCAAUGUCAGAAAUUUCACUACCAGCUGGAGAGAUGGUUUAGCUUUUAAUGCCAUCAUUCACAAACACAGAUCUGACCUUAUCCAAUAUGACAGACUUCAGAAAUCUAAUGCCAUGCAUAAUCUCAACAAUGCGUUUACUGUCGCUGAAGAAAAGCUUGGCAUCACUAAGCUUUUGGAUCCUGAAGAUGUCAAUGUUGAGAUUCCUGAUGAGAAGUCCAUCAUUACAUACGUAGUCACCUACUACCAUUACUUCUCGAAAAUGAAGGCUGAAUCUGUUCAAGGCAAGAGAAUUGGCAGAGUCAUUGACAAUGCCAUUGAUACAGAAAAAAUGAUUGAAGAAUAUGAAACCUUAACAUCUGACCUCUUGGAAUGGAUUGAACAGACAAUAGUUAUUUUGAAUGACCGAAAAUUCGCCAACUCUUUAACUGGCGUGCAGGAGCAAUUGACAGGCUUUAACACCUACAGAACUGUCGAAAAACCACCAAAAUUUGUGGAGAAAGGAAACCUUGAGGUCCUCCUAUUCACACUCCAAAGUAAGAUGAGGGCAAACAACCAAAGACCCUAUUUACCCAGAGAAGGAAAACUGAUAUCUGACAUCAACAAAGCUUGGGACAAACUUGAGAAAGCUGAACAUGAACGAGAACUGGCUCUGCGUGAAGAACUGAUCCGACAAGAAAAACUUGAGCAAUUGGCUGCCCGAUUCAAUCGUAAGGCUGGCAUGCGAGAAGUUUGGCUCAGUGAGAACCAACGGUUGGUAUCUCAGGACAAUUUCGGCCAUGACCUUGCUGCUGUCGAGGCUGCUACCAAGAAACAUGAAGCAAUUGAGACUGACAUUAACGCAUAUGAAGAACGCGUCCAAGCAGUUAUUGCUGUGUCAAAUGAAUUGCAACAGGAAAAUUACCAUGACAUCAAUAGAAUUGCGGCAAGAAAAGACAAUGUUCUGAGUCUGUGGAACUAUCUUUUGGAAUUACUACGAGCACGUCGUAUGAGACUUGAACUUUCUCUGAACUUACAGAAGAUCUUCCAAGAGAUGCUUUACAUUCUUGAUUGGAUGGAAGAAAUUAAGGCCCGACUUAUGUCUUCAGACUAUGGUAAACAUCUGAUGGGAGUCGAAGACUUGUUGCAAAAGCACAGUUUGUUGGAGGCUGACAUUAAUGUAGUCGGAGACAGAGUCAAGACUGUAAAUUCCCAGGCUCAGAGAUUUGCUGAAGGUGACUUCGUAGAUGUUGGAGCGGAGUACAGGCCCUGCAAACCAGAAGUUAUUGUGGAAAGAAUGUCAACACUUGAGACAGCUUUCACUGAACUUAAACAACUAUCAGCUGAACGCAGGGCUCGCCUUGAAGAGUCACGUAAAUUAUGGCAGUUCUACUGGGAUAUGGCAGACGAGGAAGGUUGGGUGAAAGAGAAAGAGCAGUUGAUGUCAUCUCCUGAUCUGGGACAUGAUUUAACUAGUGUACACCUCCUACUGAACAAACAUAAAGCACUGGAAGAUGAAAUGACAGCCAGACACUCACACUUGCAGUCAGUCAUCCAAGUUGGCAAUGAUCUCAUUUCUGCCGGAAAUUUCGGUGCAGACAAGAUCCAAGAACGCAUAGAUGAGAUUAACCAGCAGUGGGAGAGUUUGAUUGACCUGGCAGCAUAUCGCAAACGCAGACUCAAUGAGGCUGUUGAUUACUAUCAGUUCUUUGCUGAUGCUGAUGACAUUGACAUCUGGAUGUUGGAUACUUUCCGUAUCGUGUCCAGUGAAGAUGUCGGACGUGAUGAGGCCAGCGUACAAUCUCUGCUUAAGAAACACAAGGAUGUUACAGAUGAGCUCAAAAACUACCAGAGUGUCAUUGAAAGUCUCCAUGAGCAAGCAACUAACCUUGGAGAACAAGACCGAGAGUCUGAUGACGUACAGAGUCGAUUAGGUAGCAUUGAUCGCCGUUACCAAGAACUAUUGGAGCUUGCCAAACUUCGCAAGCAACGGUUGCUUGAUGCCCUCUCUCUCUAUAAACUUUUCAAUGAAGCAGAUGGUGUGCAGACUUGGAUUGAUGAGAAGGAGAAAUUCCUUGCAACAAUUGUUAUUACGGAUGAUAUCGAAGAACUUGCUAUUGUUAAACAUCGCUUUGAAAGUUUCGAACAUGAAAUGAACUCUACGGCAUCCAAGGUUGCAGUGGUGAACCAGCUGGCUCGGCAGUUGCUCCAAGUUGAACAUCCUAAUGCUGCUGAUGUCAUUGCUCGACAGAAUCAGCUGAACCAAGAAUGGAACACCUUGAGGUCGCUGGUUGACCAGAAGAGGGAAGAAAUACAUUUAGCUCAUGGGCUGCAGAACUUCCACAUUGAAUGCAAUGAGACGAUUGGCUGGAUAAACGAAAAGGUGAAAAUUAUCGAAUCAACUGAAGAACUUGGCAAUGAUUUAGCUGGUGUUAUGACACUACAGAGACGGCUCAGUGGUAUGGAACGAGACCUUGCUGCCAUACAAGCCAAGGUUGAAUCGUUGCAAGUGGAAGCAGAUAGACUACAAGAAACCAAACCUGAAGAAGCCCAGGCUAUUCGUGAAAAGAUCAAUGACAUCAACAAUGUAUGGAUGGAUCUCAAAGAAAUGCUCAAAGAUAGGGAUGAAAAACUUGGUGAGGCCGGCGAAUUGCAACGCUUCCUUGGUAACCUCGACCAUUUCCAGCAAUGGUUAUCUCGUACUCAGACAACUGUGGCAUCAGAAGACAUUCCCAACAAUCUGGCUGAUGCUGAGAAAUUAUUAAAUCAACACCAACAGCUUAAAGAUGAAAUUGAUGCUUAUGCCCCAGAAUAUGCUAAGAUGAAAGAGUUUGGUGAUAAAGUCACUGAGGGCCAGGAUGAUCCCCAGUAUAUGUUUCUGCGACAGCGUCUUCAAGCACUUGAUGGCGGCUGGCAGGAAUUGUUACAGAUGUGGGAGAAUAGACAGCAGCUUCUUUCUCAGAGUCUCAACUUGCAAAUGUUCCUCAGGGAUGCCAAACAAGCUGAGGUACUCCUCAACCAACAAGAGAACUUCCUAUCAAAAGAAGAAGUACCUAGUGCCAUUGGACUUGACAAGCAGAACUCGUUGGAAGCUGCUGAAAAUAUCAUUAAAAAACAUGAAGCAUUUAUCACCACAAUGGAUGCAAAUGAUGAGAAAAUUAACAACGUCUUGCAAUUUGGACAAAGACUCAUCGAAGACAACAACCAUGCUGCUGACAAAAUCAGCAAAAAAGCAGAAAACAUCAACGAAAGGCGUAAUGCAAACAGGCAGCGUGCAUAUGAACAACUGGAACGCCUUAAAGACCAGAGAAUGCUACAACAGUUCUUCCAAGACUGUGAAGAAUUACGAGACUGGCUUCAAGAUAAAAUGUCAGCUGCUCAAGAUGAGACUUAUCGUGAUGCUAAAAACCUGCACAGCAAAUAUAUGCGACAUCAAGCAUUUGAAUCUGAAAUUGCAGCUAAUAAAGAUCGUCUUUUGAAACUUCGUGAGGCUGGUGAAGGUUUGUUGAAAGAUAAACCCGAAGCUGCUGAGCAGGUUGGUCCCGUUCUUGAGGGUCUCAGCAAUCAAUGGGAAGAGCUCGAGAACACCACGAAGGACAAGGGUGAGCGGUUGUUUGAUGCCAAUCGCUCGGUCCUCUAUGAACAGAGCUGUGAUGACAUUGAUGGUUGGAUUCAACAGCUGGAAUCCCAAGUUGUUACUGAAGAAUUUGGUAGAGAUUUAACCACUGUCAAUAUUCAAAUGCAGAGGCAAAAUCAAUUGGAAAGCCAGAUGAAGUGUAAAGAGAACCAAGUGCAAGAGCUUGAUAAACAAGCUAAUUACCUGAAAACUAUGGAUCCUAAUAAGGAGGCUGAAAUAGAAGCUCGCAAAGUGGCGGUUGCUGAGCGGUUCAUGAAAAUUCAGGCGCCUUUGUUAGUACGACGAUCUCAACUUGAGAGAGUCAAACGAAUUCAUCAGUUUCAGCGUGAUAUUGAAGAUGAAAAAAUGUGGGUUGAAGAAAAGAUGCCCCUGGCAACCUCUGGCAACUAUGGCAACAGCCUUCUUAGUGUUCAGUUACUAAUGAAGAAAACACACUCAUUGCAAACAGAAAUUGAAAACCACGAACCCCGUAUUGAUUCUGUUAUUGCUGUUGGCCAAGAAUUGGUUAAUGAACAACAUCCACAAGCUGACGAAUUCCAACAACACAUUGAUGACCUUAGCACUAAGUGGAAAACUCUAAAGGAUGCUGUGGACGCAAGGAAAGCUCGCCUACAGCUCUCAGAUAUUGCCCAACAGUACUAUCAAGAUACUUCUGAGGCAGAAUCUUGGAUGAGUGAACAAGAACUUUACAUGAUGGGUGAGGAACGGGCCAAAGAUGAAAUUGGUGCACAGAAUAUGCUUAAGAAACACCAGAAUCUCGAAUCCGCUGUUGAGGACUAUGCAGAUGUUGUCCGCCAGUUGGGUGAGAGAAGCAGAAAUUUGAUUGAACAAGAACACCCAGAAAGUGAACAAAUUGCUGUUCGCCAAGCACAAGUGGACAAGCUCUAUGCUGGUCUGAAAGAUUUGGCCCAAGAACGUCGUGGCAAGCUUGAAGAGGUGCUGAAAUUAUAUAUGCUAAGUAGAGAAAUUGAAGACUUAUUACAAUGGAUUGCAGAAAGAGAAGUUGUAGCAAAAUCUCAAGAACUUGGUCAAGAAUACGAGCAUGUAACUACUCUUAAAGAAAGAUUUAAAGAAUUUGCUAGAGACACUGAAAACUUUGGACAAGAUCGUGUGGCCUCAGCAAAUGAAAUCUGUGAUAGUUUGAUUGUAGCUGAGCACUCUGAUGCUCCAAUUAUUGCUCAAUGGAAAGAUAAUUUGAACGAAGCCUGGACCGAUUUGCUAGAGUUAAUAGACACCCGCACACAGAUGUUGCAAGCUUCAUGGGAAUUAUGGAAGUUUAACCACGAUUGCAAAGAAACUCUGGAAAGAAUCCAAGAAAAGAAGAAUUACAUACCUGAAGAAGUUGGAAGAGAUGCUCAAAGUGUUGCUGUUCUUCAAAGAAAGAAUGCUAACUUUGAACACGAUUUAGUUACUCUUGGAAAUCAAGUUCAUUUAAUUCAAGAGGAAUCAGCUUGCCUUCAAAUUGGAUAUGCCGGAGAGAAGGCGCGAGAGAUUCAGAAUUGGGAAUCUGAUGUGGUUAAUGCCUGGCGUAAUUUGCAAUUAAUGGUUGAGAGCCGACGAAUGAGACUUGCUGAUGCCAGUGACCUUUAUAGAUUCUUUAAUAUGGUCAGAGACCUGAUGUUAUGGAUUGAUGACAUCAGGCGGCAAAUGAGCACUCAAGAAAAACCAAGAGAUGUGUCGGGUGUAGAGUUGUUAAUGAACAACCAUCAAAGUUUGAAGGCUGAAAUCGAUGCUAGAGAAGAAAACUUUGCCAUUUGUAUAAACUUAGGAAGAGAUCUUAUAACUCGCAAACAUUACCGAUCCAGUGAAGUGAGAGAAAAAUUAAUACAGUUAACAUCUCAAAGGCAUUCCAUGAAUGAGCAAUGGGAUGAGAGAUGGGAAUACCUGCAGCUCAUUUUGGAAGUCUAUCAGUUUGCUCGUGAUGCUGCUGUUGCUGAAUCUUGGCUUAUUGCUCAAGAGCCAUACCUUCAAAACCAAGAUCUUGGUGACACACUUGAUGCAGUUGAAAAUCUUAUUAAGAAACACGAGGCCUUUGAAAAAUCUGCAGCAACUCAAGAAGAACGAUUUGCUGCCCUCGAAAAACUUACAACAUUUGAACUUAAAGAAAUUCAAAGAAGGCAAGAAGAAGAAUAUCGACAACAACAUCCUGAAGAAGUAGAAAAAUCUAAAGAAGAGAAGAGACGAAAAUAUAUUGCAGAAUUUGUACCUCCAGAAGAGCCACCCGAGCCAGAACCAGAAGAAGUUGUAUCAACUGAACCAGAAGAUGGUGAGGCAACAUCAGACGAUCAAGGACCAGCUGCUAUGACCAAUGGAGAGAAAGAAGUAACUGAUGAAUCAGGUCAAACUGUGACCCACACCACACCACCAGCUAAAGACACACUGAGACCAGUAGCCAAAGAUAAGGAGAAGAAACGAUCACGUUCCAAAUCACCAUUUGGAAGAUUCUUUGCUCGUAAACGUGAAGAUGAAGGUCCGUCAUCACCUAGUCGUUCAGAACAUCAAUUAGCUGGAGCCCCAGAAGCAGAACAUCUUGAAGGAGCAUUAAUCAGAAAACACGAGUGGGAAACACAAACCAAAAAAGCUUCCAACCGAUCUUGGGAGAAAGCUUACAUCAUACUUCAAGCAAAUGAACUUUCCUGCUAUAAAGACUUCAAACAUGCAAAGACUGAUCCUAAUACACGCCUUCAUCAUGAAACUGCCAUCAAUUUGAGUGGAGCUACCUGUGAUCGAGCUCACGAUUACACCAAACGUCCUCAUGUGUUCCGUCUAAAAUUGGCCGGUGGUGCUGAAUACCUAUUCCAAUGUAAAGAUGAUGCUGAAAUGGAGAAUUGGAUCACAAAAGUAAGUGCAGCAACUGGAGAAGCCAGCAGUAGCGGUCCCACUAGAUCCCAAACACUCCCUGCAAAACCAGACGGUGAACCAAAACGAGAUGAACACAAGCGAAGGAGUUUUUUCACAUUGAAAAAGAAAUAAAUAUCCACAAAAAGAUAAAUUCAUUGCAGUCCUUUCACACAUGCUUUGGGUGGAAUAUCUGAAGAGGCUACGCUGUUGCUGCUUUUGCUGCCAGAACAACAAUCUUUGAUGCAGCAUAGUUUUUCAGCAGCAGCAACAAUUUUGUCCCAAAACCAAACAAAAAACAGCAAAAAAAAAAAAAAAAAAAUCUAUAUAUAUAUAAAUAUAUAAACUGUGGCAUUCCAUCUAUGCAAAACUGGACUCAAACCAACAACCAACUACAGUGGAUUGAACAACAACAAAACUAUGAACUUCUGAAAUAUUAAAGUAACCAUAUUAAAAAACAUUACAGAUAUUUUGCCUUUCAAAUUAAAGCCUCUUCUAUAAAUUGAAUGACUGUACAGAGAAAUUGUGUGUGUGUGAGUGAGCGUGCGCCUGUAUGAGGAAAUAAAGAAAAAUUCCAAUAAAUUAGCCUGAGAUGUAUAAUGCGCCUAAAAGAAUUUCACCCAUUUACUUAGACUAAUUAAUUCUGCCUAAUAACUUGGAGGUAUAACUGACUUAUCUGUUAAACUAUGAAGAAUGAGUCUAAUGUAAGAAAGUUGUAUCCAAGACAAGCUGAAUGUAUAUUUGCAUCACAGUGUGUCAUCUCUCUCCCCCCCCCCAAAAGAACACACUGACGUCUGUAUGUUUAUAUGUGGCAUGUGUGUAUGUCAAGAAGAUAUUGUCCUGAUGCUUUUUGCCUAAAUUGCUGGCUUACUCCUUUUGCUGGUUGAUUCAUGUGCAGCUGCCAAGUGCUUGCAACCUGUAACAGACAAGAGAAAAUAAAAACAACCAAAUAACAUUUGGUUUAAUCUUACAUAUAGUAUCAAUUUACCUGUUUGUGUUUGCUUUUGACGACGACAAUUGUUAUAGGGAUUUCCAAUAUAUUUAUAGUACAAUGGACUUAGCUGGAAAAAAAACAAAUUGGACACAUAUUUCACAUUAGGCAGCUUCUUAAUAUAUUUUCUUCACUUUUUAGAAAGAGGUUAGAAAGAAAAUUUCCCUUCCCUUUUCCCGAAAUUGCAAAUAUUUUAUUUUUAUUAUACGUUAAAUUUUAAAAAAACGGAAACAAAUUCCUGUUUUGCUUUUAAAAAGAAAUUUUUUUGAUAUCAAUAACCGUUUCAUUACUUGUCGACAUAUUUAAAAAAACUUUCCACAACACUUUAAGAAUUUAACAACUGUUCAAUUUAAAUUAAGGGAAAUGAAAAAAUAUAAAAAUUAUGUGGUGUUGUCAAAAUUCUUUGGAGUGCAUUUCUAUUCUUUGCUCUCAUAACAAAACAGCUGUUUAAUAAUCUGGACGGGAAUUUUCUUGUACCUCUUUCCAUUUCUCCAUUAACUCUAAGCAAUGAAGAAAAUAUAUGUUGAUCUGCAGCUUAAAUGUGGUCACUUUAGCUAAAAAACUGACACAGAUAUUUGUAUAAGUUAUUAUUAUUAUUGUCCAUAAUUGUGAUGUAAAUUAUUCUUAAACCCAAACUUCUUCCUCCAGACGUAGCCAGUUU
rnacentral:misc_RNA from 1 species